ensembl:misc_RNA Metazoa_SRP Metazoan signal recognition particle RNA
GCCAGGUGUGGUGGUGCACACCUGUAAUCGCAGCUACUCAGAGGCUGAGGCAGGGGAAUUGCUUGAACCCAGGAGGCAGAGGUUGCAGUGAGCUGAGGUUGUGCCACUGCACUCCAGCCUGGGCAACAGAGGAAGAUUCUGUCUCAA